rnacentral:rRNA from 1 species
UAAGCGACUAAGCGUACACGGUGGAUGCCCUGGCAGUCAGAGGCGAUGAAGGACGUGCUAAUCUGCGAUAAGCGUCGGUAAGGUGAUAUGAACCGUUAUAACCGGCGAUUUCCGAAUGGGGAAACCCAGUGUGUUUCGACACACUAUCAUUAACUGAAUCCAUAGGUUAAUGAGGCGAACCGGGGGAACUGAAACAUCUAAGUACCCCGAGGAAAAGAAAUCAACCGAGAUUCCCCCAGUAGCGGCGAGCGAACGGGGAGGAGCCCAGAGCCUGAAUCAGUGUGUGUGUUAGUGGAAGCGUCUGGAAAGGCGCGCGAUACAGGGUGACAGCCCCGUACACAAAAAUGCACAUGCUGUGAGCUCGAUGAGUAGGGCGGGACACGUGGUAUCCUGUCUGAAUAUGGGGGGACCAUCCUCCAAGGCUAAAUACUCCUGACUGACCGAUAGUGAACCAGUACCGUGAGGGAAAGGCGAAAAGAACCCCGGCGAGGGGAGUGAAAAAGAACCUGAAACCGUGUACGUACAAGCAGUGGGAGCACGCUUAGGCGUGUGACUGCGUACCUUUUGUAUAAUGGGUCAGCGACUUAUAUUCUGUAGCAAGGUUAACCGAAUAGGGGAGCCGAAGGGAAACCGAGUCUUAACUGGGCGUUAAGUUGCAGGGUAUAGACCCGAAACCCGGUGAUCUAGCCAUGGGCAGGUUGAAGGUUGGGUAACACUAACUGGAGGACCGAACCGACUAAUGUUGAAAAAUUAGCGGAUGACUUGUGGCUGGGGGUGAAAGGCCAAUCAAACCGGGAGAUAGCUGGUUCUCCCCGAAAGCUAUUUAGGUAGCGCCUCGUGAAUUCAUCUCCGGGGGUAGAGCACUGUUUCGGCAAGGGGGUCAUCCCGACUUACCAACCCGAUGCAAACUGCGAAUACCGGAGAAUGUUAUCACGGGAGACACACGGCGGGUGCUAACGUCCGUCGUGAAGAGGGAAACAACCCAGACCGCCAGCUAAGGUCCCAAAGUCAUGGUUAAGUGGGAAACGAUGUGGGAAGGCCCAGACAGCCAGGAUGUUGGCUUAGAAGCAGCCAUCAUUUAAAGAAAGCGUAAUAGCUCACUGGUCGAGUCGGCCUGCGCGGAAGAUGUAACGGGGCUAAACCAUGCACCGAAGCUGCGGCAGCGACGCUGAUGCGUUGUUGGGUAGGGGAGCGUUCUGUAAGCCUGUGAAGGUGUGCUGUGAGGCAUGCUGGAGGUAUCAGAAGUGCGAAUGCUGACAUAAGUAACGAUAAAGCGGGUGAAAAGCCCGCUCGCCGGAAGACCAAGGGUUCCUGUCCAACGUUAAUCGGGGCAGGGUGAGUCGACCCCUAAGGCGAGGCCGAAAGGCGUAGUCGAUGGGAAACAGGUUAAUAUUCCUGUACUUGGUGUUACUGCGAAGGGGGGACGGAGAAGGCUAUGUUGGCCGGGCGACGGUUGUCCCGGUUUAAGCGUGUAGGCUGGUUUUCCAGGCAAAUCCGGAAAACUAAGGCUGAGGCGUGAUGACGAGGCACUACGGUGCUGAAGCAACAAAUGCCCUGCUUCCAGGAAAAGCCUCUAAGCAUCAGGUAACAUCAAAUCGUACCCCAAACCGACACAGGUGGUCAGGUAGAGAAUACCAAGGCGCUUGAGAGAACUCGGGUGAAGGAACUAGGCAAAAUGGUGCCGUAACUUCGGGAGAAGGCACGCUGAUAUGUAGGUGAAGUCCCUCGCGGAUGGAGCUGAAAUCAGUCGAAGAUACCAGCUGGCUGCAACUGUUUAUUAAAAACACAGCACUGUGCAAACACGAAAGUGGACGUAUACGGUGUGACGCCUGCCCGGUGCCGGAAGGUUAAUUGAUGGGGUCAGCGCAAGCGAAGCUCUUGAUCGAAGCCCCGGUAAACGGCGGCCGUAACUAUAACGGUCCUAAGGUAGCGAAAUUCCUUGUCGGGUAAGUUCCGACCUGCACGAAUGGCGUAAUGAUGGCCAGGCUGUCUCCACCCGAGACUCAGUGAAAUUGAACUCGCUGUGAAGAUGCAGUGUACCCGCGGCAAGACGGAAAGACCCCGUGAACCUUUACUAUAGCUUGACACUGAACAUUGAGCCUUGAUGUGUAGGAUAGGUGGGAGGCUUUGAAGUGUGGACGCCAGUCUGCAUGGAGCCGACCUUGAAAUACCACCCUUUAAUGUUUGAUGUUCUAACGUUGACCCGUAAUCCGGGUUGCGGACAGUGUCUGGUGGGUAGUUUGACUGGGGCGGUCUCCUCCUAAAGAGUAACGGAGGAGCACGAAGGUUGGCUAAUCCUGGUCGGACAUCAGGAGGUUAGUGCAAUGGCAUAAGCCAGCUUGACUGCGAGCGUGACGGCGCGAGCAGGUGCGAAAGCAGGUCAUAGUGAUCCGGUGGUUCUGAAUGGAAGGGCCAUCGCUCAACGGAUAAAAGGUACUCCGGGGAUAACAGGCUGAUACCGCCCAAGAGUUCAUAUCGACGGCGGUGUUUGGCACCUCGAUGUCGGCUCAUCACAUCCUGGGGCUGAAGUAGGUCCCAAGGGUAUGGCUGUUCGCCAUUUAAAGUGGUACGCGAGCUGGGUUUAGAACGACGUGAGACAGUUCGGUCCCUAUCUGCCGUGGGCGCUGGAGAACUGAGGGGGGCUGCUCCUAGUACGAGAGGACCGGAGUGGACGCAUCACUGGUGUUCGGGUUGUCAUGCCAAUGGCACUGCCCGGUAGCUAAAUGCGGAAGAGAUAAGUGCUGAAAGCAUCUAAGCACGAAACUUGCCCCGAGAUGAGUUCUCCCUGACUCCUUGAGAGUCCUGAAGGAACGUUGAAGACGACGACGUUGAUAGGCCGGAUGUGUAAGCGCAGCGAUGCGUUGAGCUAACCGGUACUAAUGAACCGUGAGGCUUAACCU